rnacentral:rRNA from 1 species
AAAAAGCUCAGUAACACGUAGUCAACCUGCCCUAGAGACAUGAAUAACCCCGGGAAACUGGGAUUAAUACAUGAUAGAUCAUCUCAUCUGGAAGGAGAGAUGGUUUAAAGGGGUGCGCGAGCUUCUUUUGUGCAUCCGCUCUAGGAUGGGACUGCGGCCGAUCAGGCUGUUGGUGGGGUAAUGGCCCACCAAACCUGUAACCGGUACGGGCCUUGAGAGAGGGGGCCCGGAGAUGGACACUGAGAGAAGGGUCCAGGUCCUACGGGGCGCAGCAGGCGCGAAACCUUCGCAAUGCGCGAAAGCGUGACGAGGUUAAUCCGAGUGGUUCCCGCUGAGGGAAUCUUUUGUGGCUCUAAAAUGGCCAGUGAAUAAGGGGAGGGCAAGUCUGGUGUCAGCCGCCGCGGUAAUACCAGCUCCUCGAGUGGUCGGGGCGAUUAUUGGGCCUAAAGCAUCCGUAGCCUGUUCUGUAGGUCUUCUGUUAAAUCCAACGGCUUAACCGUUGGCCUGCAGAAGAUACCGCAGGACUAGGAGGCGGGAGAGGUGGACGGUACUCCACGUGUAGGGGUAAAAUCCUUUGAUCCGUGGAAGACCACCAGUGGCGAAGGCGGUCCACCAGAACGCGCUCGACGGUGAGGGAUGAAAGCUGGGGGAGCGAACCGGAUUAGAUACCCGGGUAGUCCCAGCCGUAAACGAUGCGAGCUAGAUGAUCCAAUCGCAAAUCGCGAUUGGAGUGUCGCAGGGAAGCCGUUAAGCUCGCCGCCUGGGGAGUACGGUCGCAAGACUGAAACUUAAAG